rnacentral:lncRNA from 1 species
ACCCGACUCCUUCAUCAUCGGGUGAUGUAUUUGAUUUGGUAUGUAAAAUGGUAAAUCUUAGAUUCUCCGCAGUAGUAAUAGUAGAUGUAUCAGUUGUAAAUUUUCUGAGCUUCAGGUCUCGCCUAGUUUUUCUGGCAGACCGAAGUAUUUAUGUAGAAUGUGGCUAUUAAGAUAAUUUAUGGUUUUAAUAAUAUUAAUUUGAGAUGAGGUUGUUUAAGUCAGUGAGUGUCAGGCUUACUACGGGUUUCGGUGGCCUUAAGCCUACCCAUUCCCUAGUGCCGGUCACGGGCCCACGGGUGGGGUCGUGACAUUAACAGUUAUUACACAACCAUAAUUAUCUGCAUCUCACUCAAUUAAUAAGAGUUUCAUAUCAAUCGGUAAUUUUUUAAUACAUUCGAUCCACAAAAUAGAAUUAAAAUGGAAAUUAGAAAUACACCUCCAAGUGCUCCUAUCCAAGUAAUACACUUGCAUCUCCCUUAAUAUGAGUAAAUAACUAAUUCCUUUGAAGUAGGUGAGCUAAAGAAAACAAAUACCCUAUAUCCACGGAGAAAAAAAAAAUCAAUUCAGAGCCAUAGUAAGUUAGAACUCAGAAAGAUAUGCAAACUUAAAUUAUAAUAAAAUCUUUUACAUACUUCUUACAUAGAGAUGACCUUCCAGACAUGUCUAACAAAAAUAUGACAACAUUGUAAGAAUAAAAAUAAUUAAACAUCACAUAAAUAACCAAAUGAAUCUUCACUAACUAUAACUUUUCAAGUUCCAGUACUCAACUAAUAUCAAACAAUAAAGUAACUAAAUCAAGAUGUGAUACUCGAAUAACUGGGUAAUGUGGCUAAUUCAGAGUAGUGUCUUGUAGCUUAAUCUCAAUCCAAUUAUCUAGUUUAAGAGUUGAAGAUGCAAAAAAUGCAUAUAGUAAUACAUCAUUUACUAAGUGUAUAUUAGACAACAUUUAUAGAAGAGAAAAGGAGACUGGGGAGAAAUGGAGACUGACCAAAGUUUAGACUGACAUCCUUUUUGACUUUAUUAAGAUGAACCUGUUAUUAAAAAAAUAUAGAAGCAUAUAAGUUCUCAAUUCAAGAGACAGUAGAUAACCCAACAUUAGUUAUUAUCUCAAGCAGUUUUUAGUUAAAUCCUUAAAUCAUCAUCAAAUAACACUAGUACUUGUAGAUGUCAGGGUUCUUAAUUGUCCUCUAUAAAAGCCCCUUCAACCUACACCAUCAUCAUCACGAUCCAGCAUAUACACACAAAUAACAUAGCUUAAUACAUCUCCACAUUAUUAAGAAUUUUGAUAAACCAAUGGCUUCAAAAGCUCAAGCCUCAGCUGUUUUUCUUCUCUCUCUCGCAAUCUCCCUUUCUUCAGCUUGGUGAGUGCGACUAUUUGCCCUACUACUAUCUAUGCAGAGCUGAAUGUUUGUACCAAUUGGGCAUUAUUACUAUUCCAACAAAUGCCCAAGGCUGUGGAAUCCUUGGCGGUGUCGCUGCUGUUGAUGCCACUGCUUGCAUUUGCGCUGCCAUUGAAGCUAAUAUUUUCCCUUAACCUCGAUCUUUCUGCUACCGUAAAAUUGUUGAUCAAGGACUGUGGUAAGACUCUUCUUCCAUCACUACAAGAAAGCGACAUGUUGUGGCAAAAUUUUUAUGGGGAAAAGAAUUUUCACCACUAAAAAUAAAUAUUAUGUCUUAUUUAAUGAUGAUAUUACAUUUCUCAAUUAAAUCUACAUUAUUUGUGGUGAAAAAAUAAUAUCGCCACAUAAAAGAAAAGAAAAUAAUAAAAUUAAAAAUAAAUAAAUAAUUUUCUCUUUAUCUCGUUCAUUUUCACUCGAUAUUAACAAAAAUAAAAAUCUAAAAUUUUCCUCCUCUCAAAACCUAACCCAAAUUAAAUCAAACUAACUCCUUUUAGAUGGCUCCAAAUUAAUAUCAACAUCCAUAUCAUUUUGUGUUAGUGUCAAGAUCCAUACAAAUAGCUUCUUUUCUUAAUUUUAGAAAUCUCUAUAAUUCUUUUUAUCGUCAAGAAUUGUUAGAGGUGAGGAAAAACUUUCUCAUGAAAUUUCUCUAUCAAUGUCAUUACUUUUGGACUGAUAUUGGUCUUGCAAAUCGCUUCUUUUGUUGUUGUUUGUCAUUACUGUUCAAACAUGCUUUUCUACUGUAAUUUUUCUACAAUCUUCUUCUUCUUUCUUUUUCUUUUUGAUUUGAUUCUUUUUGCAAGCUGACGAGCUACGCUUUCUAGAUCAAUUUUUUUUUUCUUUUCUCGUGUGUCCUUUUUUCACUCUCCUCUCUGUCGUAUUUUGUGAUACAAAUACUCCAGAAAUUGUGAUGUCCAGGUUUUUAUGUUUCCUACUGUACCAAUAGGGGCAUUUUUUUUAAUGGCCCAUUUGACUUGCUAAUAUUUACUCCGGUCAACAAAAUUAGGAUGCUAAUCAAAGGUUGUGAGGUUAUAUCACAUUCUUAGUUUAUGAAUUAUAGGUUAGUCUAGAGAAAUCAUCAAUUAUAGUUUAUCUGCUAUUUGUAGCGCCCCAUUCAGCUUUAGAGAGCUUGUCACAUAGUGUUUGGGUUUCUUAUUGAUAAGAAGAACAAUUGCCAGGUUAGUUUGAUAAGAAGAAUAAUUGCUAGGUUUUAUGUAUGUAAGACAAGGGCGCUCUUAUUUGUUUUCUUUCACUUUGGGAGUAUGUACUCUUCUACUGAAGUAUAAUCAGUAGUAAUAAUAACAUAAGUUGUUCUAAUGACCAUCUGUUAUUAUAUAUAUAUUGACUAAAAUAUCUUUAUAAUUAAUUAGUAAUCACUAAUUUUAUCCUAUUUUAAUUCUAUAUGUAAUUAAUUUAAUUGUUUAAUCUAAUAGAAUUAAUUAGUGAUUAAUCUUCUAAUUUUAAUAGAGUUAAUUAGUAAUUAGUCUAUUUCAGUUCUAAAACUAUUAUAAUUUAAUAUAUAUUUCUAAUAGUCAUUUUAUAUUAUAUAGUGUAAUAUAGUAAAAAACGGAAACAAAGCAUAAAUUUCUUCAGCUAGGAGUCCUUUCUUUUUUAUAUAAAUAAGAGUCCUAAUUUUUAGAUGUUCAAUAUAUUGGUAUAAAGAAAGUAAUUUCAUAUAUAUAUCUUCUUGUUUGUUUUCUAGUUUAUUAUGGAAUUAAUUUAUAAUAUAUCUAUUUAUAAUUUAUGUGUUCAUUAUUAUAAUACUUUAUUAGUAAAAUUAUUGCAAAAUAAUUAUUUUAUGUGGUUAAUAUAUUUUUAUAUAUUUUCAUCGAUCUUAAUUAUACGAUAAAAAAUAUUUUUAAUAUAUAUUAUACUAGACAAUAAUUUAUUAAAUAAUUUUAUAUUGUGACUUUUAUUAUAAUAACUUACGCACGUUAACUCGUGUAAUGAAUAAUAUUAGUAUAUAUAUAUAUAUAUAUGAUGUGUCCAAACGCAUGCACUUUCUGCCCAUCUGAAAGCGGGAAACACUGAGAAUUGUUAGAAACAAGUACAGCAAUUGUGGCAACGAUGACUAUGUUUUAGACCAAAAAAGGAAAAAAAAAAACAAAAGAAUAUUUAUCUGAGAAUGAAAAUUAAAAUGUAUAUAUCUUUUAGUCUCCAACUUGAAAAUUAGUCAAGAAAUUAAUGAUCAUUGAUAGUAGAAUUUGUUAAAAUGUAGCUGUUCUUUAAUCAUUUUUGGAGGCCUGGCAUUGAUGAUUUGAGGUUAAUGUAAAUAGAUUUUCUUUUACUACUUUGAAUAUGUUAUAUCAAAUAAUUACGUUAUUACAUAUACUGUAAUUAUUAAAUUUUAUGUCACUCAUUUAUAUAGUUUAAAUACUAAUAUUUAAAAUAUACUUCGCUCAUCUAAUAAUUUUGUUUAACAAAUUUGACGCUCAAGUCAUUCCCGACAUAAAUUGCAAAUUUCAUGGCCCAUUGUCUGAAGACCGACUGUAUUAUGCCACCAGGGAUCGUGAGUUAGCCCCACUUUAAGCUAGACGAGGUUGGUCCAAAGACUGUGGAUCUAUUUUUACUAGUUUUAUUUAAGAGGAAAUCACAUUUUUUAAAAAGAUAUUUAUAAAAGUUACCUCAACUUUUAAUUUAUUGCAUUUUUAUUCUUUUUUUUUUUUUUUUAUAUUUUCUAAAAAUUGUGAAAUUCAAACUCCUCUUCUAAUAUACCAUUGAUGAUGAAAUGGUGAUAUCCAAGGUAGAAAGUCUCAGCUCUGGCGAGGGCCAUUGGCCUGUCAAACAUCCACUUCACUGUCUAAAACUUUUCAAGUUAGUCUUACCGGAGACGGUGAGUCGCCUAGUUGCAGUGGCUUGGCCUGAAACAAUGAUGGUUUGCCGGAAUAAAGGUGGUAGCUAUUCCUUAUUUUCCAACUCAAUUUUUCAGUGGGCUAGAAGCGAGACACUGGCAGCCGCUUCAUUUAUAGUGUCGGGGACGACAAGAUCUCUAAGAUUUAGUGCAAAAUGACAUUGGAUGGGUGGAGAUUGGUAGUGGGCAGCGACGAGAGGAAGAAGAGUGCAAUGGAGAGAGAUAGAAAGUGAAAGGCCAAAAUGAUGAAGGUAAGCUGUUGUUUGGUCCUAGACAUAUUCUUCAUUUAAAAAAAAUCUUAUUCGAUUAAUAAUUGAUAAUUUUAGAUAAUUUUGUAAUAUUUAAGAGUAUAUAGUACAUAUAUGUAUCAGAAAGACUAAUUAUGAAAUUAAGAGAAACUAAAAAUGUUAACUUAAAUAAUUUAUAUAAAAUAAAAGUAAAAAUUAACAGAUAUUAUAGAGUAACUAUAAUAUAUUAAAUCCAUAAAAUUAAAACAAUACUUACAUAUAUAUUAAAAUAAUUAACCAAUCCAAGAUAUUUAAGGAUUAGAAUAUUUAUCAAUACCCGAAUAAAUUUUUAAUAAACAAAUAUUAUAUUAAAAUACCUCUAAGAAAUUAUCAUUAAAAAAAUUAAAAAUUUAGAGUAUGUUUUAUUGGUUGAAUGAUUUUUUGUUGGUAUUUAGAUGAUGUUUGAUUGAUUUAAAAAGGGUAUGGUUUAUAUUUUGUUGAUGUUUGAUUGAAAUUUUAUUUAUUAUCUAAUUUCUUUACAUCUUAAUUUUAUUAGUUGAUUUUUAUUUACUUUAUAUAUUUUUUUGAUUUUAGUUGAUGUGUAAUUUUUCUUUAAAGGUCUUUGGUAUUGAUCGAUGUUUAGUUGAUUUUUAGAGUAUUUGACUUGAUGGUAUUUUUAUAAUUAUCUUUUUUAGAAAAUAUUAUUUUUAUAAUUUUUUUGAGAUAAAAAUAUAAUUAUCCUUAUAAAAAGAGAUAUUUCUGUAAAUAAUCUAUUUUUUAAUUUACAAAAGUAUAAUAUUUUAUAAUCUGUAUUUUUUUUCUUCUCAACAAAGAAUUGAACUGAGUAGUCUUAUCAUAUAAUUCUUUCAAUUUCACUACAAUUUUUGGGCAAUAAGGAGCUGCAUAAUUCGUGUAAUUUUUUUAUCAGUUGUAAUUUUUCUUCUGAGGGUUCUUUCACAUGUAAUUUGGUUGCCUGGUUGAUUAGCUUUUAGUAUCUGGAUGUUCACGGAAGGACCUGAUGAUCUUUUGAUAUAUAUUCUUUUCUUCUCUCUUUAUUAAUAAAAAUAACAAAAAUUAUCAAAAAAAAAACAGAAAAGAAAAAGAUGAGAUCCUUUAUUUCUUUCUCAAUUAAAUUUUCUGACCAAAUAUAUAUAACAUACGUUAAAUGGGAUAAGAAAAACUAUAGUUAACUAAUAAAUAAUUAAUAUUUUCAUUAGCAUUUACAUUAGUUUCUUUAUUAUAAAAUUGAUAAUUCGUAGAGGAAUCUUUAAUUAAUUUCGCUAAUAUUGGUUUUUCUUUUGUGGUUUUUCUACCUUUUUCUUGAUUCAUGGAUCCAUAAAUUCUACAAAUGCUUAGCUGAGACUUUAGAUUUUAUGAUACCAUUAAUGCCGGUUUCACCACAUAGUGUAAGAAGAAAAAUAAAUCAAAAAUAUAAAUUGUUAUGAUAAUUGAUUUAAGAUGUCAAAACAUGUGCCACAUCAAGAUUUUAUUCUUUCAAUUAUUGUUAAUUGUCUAGCAAUUUGCUUAUGCAAUUGUAUAAUUAUUUUAUAUUUAAAAAAAUUAUUUUAUAUAUUAUACAUAAUCUAAUUUAUAAGUAUAUUAAUAUAAAAGAAUAGUUUUGUUUUAUUUUUAUAAUAUUUUUAUUUAAUUGAUGUAUUAUAUCUUUAUAAUACAUUUUUAUAAAGUUGAUAUUUUUAUUAUAUGUUAAGAUAAAUAUACAUGAGAAAUAUAUAUAUUUAUCAAUUUUAAUAUUUUUAUCUAUUUCUUGCACUAAUAAAUUUUUUAUGUAAUAGUUAUUUUUAAUAAGGAAGAUUGUUAAAAUUUCUACUAUUUAUUUCUUUAAUAUCAUACAUACAUAAACAUAUAUUAUUAUUUUUAUUGUUAUUAUUAUUAUCAUCAUUUAUAUAUAUAUAAAUACAAACAUAUAUUAAGAUAAUAAGUUUUAUUAUUAAUAUGUAGUAGUUGCGGUAAUUAUUAUAUUUAUUAUAAUACUUUUUUAAUAAUAUAAUAAUUUUAUAUUUAAAUAAGUCAUAAAUCUUUACUAUAUUUAUUAUCAACAUUUAAAAUUAUAUUUUUUUAAAUAUUUAUAAUUAACAUAUUGAAUAGAAUUAUUAAUCCUCCUUUGACUCGAAAACGUAUAAUAAAACUUAGUAUUAUUGUCCCAAUAAUGGAUCCAUUUGGUGUGGGCACGUUGAGCAUUGUUUAAUCAGUUUCAUAUAAACUUCCCAAAGAUGAUUUUUUUUGUUGCAAGAGAAAAUCUUUUUUACCUCUAACAAAUCCUUUUCCUAUUUCUAACAGCUUUUGUGAAAUAAAAAGAAGUUGUGUAAUAUUACCAUGAAUCCAUUUUUAUGAAUAUACUAUAUGUUAUUUUUUUUAUUAAAAAAUAUAAAAUUUUACCACGUGAAAUUUCAUUAAAAAAUUUAAUAUUCUUUAUAUAUAUAGAUUAUGUACAUGUUAACAUUUGCAUUUCUAUGGCUAAAGAAAGCUUAUUUAAAUAUUUAACAUAUAGAUGUUUUUCUUUUUCAAACGGGCUUGAAUUAAAUAAUAAGGAAAAAAAGUUAAAUUUGUCAGGUUAAGAUACAAAGUUAUUAAUAUUGAAUGCAAUUAUAAACUGUUGGAGUGCAAAAAUCUCCAUCCAGAUAUUAAUUAACAAGAAUGGUUUCAGUUGCUUUUGCACAGCAGAGACAUGUUCUAGGUAUUGUUACAAAUCUAUUCUUUUGGGGUCAGAUUCAAAGAACAUUUAGUUAUAUACUUACUAUAAAGUUUUAAUAAAUUAGUCCUUUAAUUGGUACAUAAUAGGUGUACUGUGCUUGCAGAUUAUGAGGUGAUUUUCCACCAAAUUGUUGAUCUUUUGAUAUAACAAUAUAUCCUAAUGCCAAAUUUUUUUCUAUAGGAAAUUAAUCUUUAUCAAAAAAAAAAAAUGAAAAGAUCUCAACGUGAUCAAUUUUCUUGUAUAAAAUUAUAAUAUAAAGUCUGCUCCACAUUUUUAUUAUUCUGUUUAAUUUCCCUGAGCUGCUAAUAAUUAAAACAGCAUGUUGAAGCUCGUGGGAUUAUUCGGUUGCCACCCUAGCUAGACCAAUGUGCCUCGGUACGUUAUCCUUCAAGAUUUUCAAACCAUCAUCAUAUAUCUUUCACUACAUUUCCAGCUAUUUUAGUCAAUAAUGACCAUGCACUAAUUGAUUCGCCGUUAUAUAACACCAUUAUCACAUAUAUUUUAAAUUUAUUAAAUUUAAUCGCAACUAUUAAAUAAAAAACUUACUGGUAGAUGAUAAAUUUAAUAAUAUUAGUAUUUUAUUUUAUUAGUUAUAUAAAUUCUGAAGAAAAAAGGUAUGAUUCUACUUUUUUUUUUUUUAAAUAUUGAUUCUAUUUUUUAUUAAAAUAAAAUUUUUACGACAAAGUGUGACACUAAAUAAUGACCUGCCAAAGUCAUGUGCCAAGAUCAUCAGGUAUAUUUCAUGGUUUUCUUUUUAAACAAAAACAGUGCUUAAUUUCCUUCUUUAAAAUCCUUCCCCACUUCCCCAUUUUGACAUCACUUUCUCUUGAAAGGUUUAAAGCUUGAUUAUAUCUCAGCAAACAAACAUUCAAGAAUUUCAAGCUUUCUUUUCAGAAAUGGCAUCAAGAACCGUAGCCUCGAUGGCCUUCCUUCUCUCCCUCAACCUCCUCUUCUUUACUUUGGUGAGCUCCACCUCCACUUCUUGCCCAAAAGAUACUGUAAAACUUGGUGUAUGUGUCAAUUUGUUGAAAGACUUAUUAAGUGUUACAGUUGGUACCCCGCCGAAAACCCCUUGCUGCAGCCUCAUUGCAGGCCUUGUUGAUCUCGAAGCAGCUGCUUGCCUUUGCACCACAAUUAAAGCUGAUGUCGCCGGCAUCAAAUUGAACCUUCCAAUUCACUUGAGUCUGUUGCUCAACUACUGUGGGAAAAAGGUUCCCCAAGGAUUCAAGUGUUCUUAUUAAAUAUUGCUUCUUUUCUUCAUUUCUUUUCUAUCUGAAUAUGGUCAUGGUAUGUUUCAGAUAUGUUUAUUGGCGUAUAUGCUAUAAGCAUUAAAUUAAUAAGUUUUUGGAGUUAUUUUUAUUUUUUUAUGUUGAAAUUUGAAAGGCUUCUUGCCUUUUCUCCUUCAUCACUGUAUUCUUUUAUUGUAUUAUUUGUACUACUUUUUCAGAAUGAGAAAAUAAGAUGCAAUUGUUCUUUUCACUGCAGAGCAAAGUUUUCAUUUUGAAGUCUAUGAUAUGGUUGUUCUAAUGCAUUUAGUAUGAAAAAUGUAUCUAAGAACCUCAUCAAUUGAUGGCGAAACGAAUCACACUUCAUUAAAAAGAAAGUUAAAUUGGGAAAAUUAUGUUAGUACAUGCUGGUAGAAAAAUGUUUGGUAUAUUGAGUUAUUAGGACAAUAAUAUCAAUGAUUAUUGAAAUUUGUAUUUAGUUUCGUUUUAGUUAUAAACUUUUAAUUUAUUUCAUUUCAAUCAUUAUACUUUAAUCUUUAUUGUAAUUUAGUCACUUUGCCAAUAAAAAAAUUGACAUGUCAUAUCUGUUUUUAUUACUCUUUUCUUAUUGGUUAUUUUUGCCAUGUUUCAAUCUCUUAUUUGUGACGUGACUAAAUUGAAACAAAUUAAAAUUAGAUAGCUAAAACGAAACAAAUUAAAAUUUUAUGAUUAAAAUAAAAUUAAAUGCAAAGUUUAGUGGCAUUUUAUGUCAUUAUCUCAACUUACUAUAUACAUAAUAUUGUAAUAACUAAUUAAAUAUUUAUAAAAUAAAAAUAACUGAAGUAAUAUUAUAAUUUAUACAAAAAUUGUUAUUUAGUUGAUUAUUGUAUAACUAUUCAUUGCAUCUAUCUUUAUCCCAUACUUAUGGGUUCAUUCUGUAGGAAAGUAAUUUACAUCAUAAUCAAGCAUUGCGCAUUAAAUUGAUGCGAGGAAAAAUGUUGGUCAAACGUGUAGUUGUAUUUUAUGGGAAAAGAUGAUAGAAAAGAGGUGUCUAACGGCAAUUUUAACAAUUUUGAUAACUUCUCAUAAUUGCAUUCAAACACACUUUUCUUUAACACUGAAAUUCCUCGCUUUUCGGCAAAAAUCUAAGACUUAAACCGUUAAUACGCAUUAUUAUUUUAUUAUUAAAGUUUAAUUAUGCUAAUAGCAUUUUAUCAUUUCAUCCAAUCCUAAAACAAGACCUCCUAAUCAUGUUAAAGGAUCUUAUUGAACUUGAUUUGCAUAGGUCAUUCUUCUGUUUAUCGAACUCCAUUUUAUCGAAAUUUGUAAGACAAUAAUGUUUGAUAUUUGAGUUGUUUUUGAGAUUUCAUAUCAGAACUUAUUAAAAAGACAGCCUAACCAUAUGGGGUCAAAUAUAAUAUUCUUUCAAGACUAAUUUCUUUAUUGUAUAUAAUAAAAUUAAUUAACACUAAUCCCAUGAGCAACCAAUAAUUUAAUACAACCUGUUGAAGCUUGGCAGAUUAUUCCAUGUUCUACAUUGAUUCAUAAAUAAUCAAAUAUAUACUAAAUACAGUAUAUAAAAUAGGCAUUCUACUUUUAUGUAAUCAAAUUCAUUAAUCCCCUGAUGCAGUCUUAUCCAAUUUUUUCACUAAGAUCAUUGGUUUUUACAAUUAAAACAAUGCCCAUUAUAGAUACAGAUUAAGCAUAUUAUACAAAAAAGAAUUCUAUUAAAAUACGUCUCUGCUUCUUCUUUUUUUCUUUCUUUUUUUCCCUUUUGGGUACAUUCUUGAAUUUGCUUAAAAAUGUGAAUUAGUUCAUAUAAUCUUCUUUCCUGCUCAAUUAUUGAAUUAAUUGAUAUAAAAACGAUUAACUCGGACAAUAAUUUGGCUUAAUCUAAGAAAAAUAUUUAAUUUUUUUUUUGUCUUAUAUAACAAAAAGUAAUCACCUUGAAUCCCUGGUGCAGCUAAUAAUUAAACAAAAUAUUGAAGCUCAUGGUAUUAUUGGGUUUCCACCCUAGAUUAAUGUGCCUAGGUAUGUUACAUUUCAAGAUUCNNNNNNNNNNNNNNNNNNNNNNNNNNNNNNNNNNNNNNNNNNNNNNNNNNNNNNNNNNNNNNNNNNNNNNNNNNNNNNNNNNNNNNNNNNNNNNNNNNNNNNNNNNNNNNNNNNNNNNNNNNNNNNNNNNNNNNNNNNNNNNNNNNNNNNNNNNNNNNNNNNNNNNNNNNNNNNNNNNNNNNNNNNNNNNNNNNNNNNNNNNNNNNNNNNNNNNNNNNNNNNNNNNNNNNNNNNNNNNNNNNNNNNNNNNNNNNNNNNNNNNNNNNNNNNNNNNNNNNNNNNNNNNNNNNNNNNNNNNNNNNNNNNNNNNNNNNNNNNNNNNNNNNNNNNNNNNNNNNNNNNNNNNNNNNNNNNNNNNNNNNNNNNNNNNNNNNNNNNNNNNNNNNNNNNNNNNNNNNNNNNNNNNNNNNNNNNNNNNNNNNNNNNNNNNNNNNNNNNNNNNNNNNNNNNNNNNNNNNNNNNNNNNNNNNNNNNNNNNNNNNNNNNNNNNNNNNNNNNNNNNNNNNNNNNNNNNNNNNNNNNNNNNNNNNNNNNNNNNNNNNNNNNNNNNNNNNNNNNNNNNNNNNNNNNNNNNNNNNNNNNNNNNNNNNNNNNNNNNNNNNNNNNNNNNNNNNNNNNNNNNNNNNNNNNNNNNNNNNNNNNNNNNNNNNNNNNNNNNNNNNNNNNNNNNGUUUCAAUUUUUCUUUUUUUGUUUUCCUGCUUGAAUGCGACCGUGGUAUGUUUUAGAUAUGUUUAUUGGCGGAUACGCUGUAAACAUUAAAUUAAUAAUUUUUUGUGUUAUUAUUAUUUUUUUUAUAUUUGAUUUUUGGAUGUCUCCUUGUUCUUCAUCGUCUUCUCUAUUCUUUUAUUGUAUGAUUUAUUCUGGUUCUGCAUAUUAAAAAUAAAUAAGAUGUAAUUUUUCUAAUAUGCUCUUUGCAUUGUACAGCUUUUUUUUUUUUUUUUUGCAUAAUACAUAUUUAAACACUUAAAUUUUAAUAAUUUAGUUAUUUCAAUAUUUUAAUUUUUAGUUUAAUAUAAUAAACACUUAAGAUAUGCUUUUAGAAUUUUACUUUAAUCUAACAGACAUUCAAAUUUUAUUUAAUGAUAACACUAAAAUACCUACGCAUAAUAUUCGUAGACAUGCUGAAUGAAACUACAUGUCAAAAAAUAUUUAGAUAUCACAAAAAUAUUAAUUGAGGUAUUUAUCAAUUUAAAUUAAAAAUAAAAAAUAAUUAAAAUUUAAGUCUCCAAAUAUGUAUUUAGUCUUUUUUUAUUAUAAAUUUAUAAUAUAUAUUUGUUUUAAUGCAUUUAGUAUAACCGGUGUCGAUGGUUCAAAAAAAUAAGUAUAACUGGUGUCGAAGAACAAACUAGCUACUAUUAAUUAAUAAUAAUAAAUACAGUUACAGUCUAUUGAAUAAAAAAAAUAGAAAAUCAUAAUAAAGAAAAUACUGAUUUUGGUGCAUAGUGAUCUUAUCCUAGUCUAUGAUUGUAGGCCAAUAUUGUGUAAUUAUGCAUUAAGUAUAAUUCUUGCACAAUGAAUGAGCACAAUAACAAGGUUAGAACACAAGUAAGUCUUACAAAAGAACAAUAACAAAUCUUUAGCAAGAAAGUUACUUACAAUUUGAGAAAUAAUAAUAAUAAUAAUUUUAUUGAUAGCUGAUGCAAUGAUAUCUAGGGUUUAGGGCACUCUAUAUCACUACAAGAAAACAAGACUUUAAAAUUUUUGGCCGCUAAAAGUUCACACUCAAAUGAUUUAGGGCAAAAAUAAAUAUGUCUACAAAUUCACCACCGACAGACAGCAUCCCGCGAAAGGUUUUUAGUGCACAAAUUUCAAGUUCUUGCCACUUGAUAAACUUCCAGCGGGGAUAUCGAUUUUGGCCACAAAUUCUGAUACACUGUGGCCAGAUAUUUUGGCCACUAAAGGAAGCUGCCAGCUCAAAUAAAAACUAAAACGCAAUAAACUUGUUAAUUUCAUUUCAUGUGACAAUUUCUUUCCCCGUACUAACCACUGCUUUUCACAAUGACAAUACAAUUAUUAUAAAAAUUGUUAUAAUAAUAUUAAAAUGUUUGAAUUAUAUUAGAUGUCUAUUAUUAUGUUUAUAGAUAAAUUUUCUUAUGUAAAUGAAAUUUUAUAUUUGUAACUCUUUAUAUCUAAGAUAUAUAUUUUUAAUAGAAAAAAAUUAUGUGAAACUAUCCUCUAUCUUUAUUGAAUUCAUUAUUAAAUUUAUAAGAACCUAUUUUGGUGGUCUUAAUAAGUAUAUAGCACCUUUUUUUUUUAUUUGUGGCUUUUAAAUUUCUACUAAAUUCUUUUAUUUUAACUAAAUACUAGUUUAUAUUGCAAUUAUAAUUUUAUCUGCAUAUUUUAUAGGAUCAUGAUUUUAUUUUAUUUCUAUCUUAUUUUAUUUAUUAUAAUAUAUAUAUUAUCCGAUAUUAGUUAUAGUUUUUGAAGAAAUUGUAUUAUAAAUUUUAGUUCUUGAAGAACUUAUAUUAUAAAUUUUAGUUCCUCAAGAACUAGCGUUAUAUAUAGUUUUUGAAGAACUUAUAUUAUAUAUUUAGUUUUUGAAGAACUUGUAUUAUAAAUUUUAGUUUAUGAAGAAAUUGUAUUAUUAAUUUUAGUUCCUAAAGAACUAAUAUUAGUUUUAGCUGUUGAAGAACUAAUUAAUAAAUAACUAAACAUAUAAAUUCCUGAAAAAUUUUAACCAUAAGUUCCUGAAGAACUAAAUAUCUUGAAAUCUAGUAUCUCAAUUUAUUAAAGAAUUAAGAUUAUGUUCUUGAAGAACUAAAUAUAUUGGUCUUUAAAAUAUUGAUACUAAUUGACGUGUUAUUUAUUUAUUUUUAUAUAGAAAGGUAAAAUAUUAUAGAUUCUACUCAAUCAUUAGUAGGAUUAAGAACAAAUGAUGUAGAUUUAUGUCUUACAAACAGUACUACUACACACACCAUAUUAAGAGAUAAUAAAAUUUUUCUUACUUAACAAAGGGAGAAACUUGUGUCAAUACAAUAUCUGAUAGUAAAGAAUAAUUGAAGGCUCCGGAAGAGCAAAUAUAUUACUACCUCGAGGUAUAUAUUUUUUUUAUUAAAAGUGCAUUAUUUUCUCCAAAAACUCAUAGAAAUUUAUUAAAAUUUAAAGAUAUUUGUCAAAAUAGAUAUCAUAUUAAAACUACAAACAUAUAAAAUAUUGAAUAUCUCUAUAUUACAACCCUCACAAUGGGAAAGAAAUGUGCAUCGGAGAAAUUAUAUGUUUUCUCUUAUGGCUUAUAUUACACAUAUAUGUGUACUAUUGAAAUAAAUAUGGUACCAAAAGUUUACUGACCAAAAUAUUUUUCUUAUUUGGGGUGAUCGAUUAGGUCAUCCUGGAUCAACAAUGAUGCGAAAAAUUAUUGAAAGCCCUUAUGGCCAUCCAUUGAAGAACCAUAAGAUUCUUCAAUCUAAUAAAUUUUCAUAUUCAGCUUGCUCUCAAGAAAAGCUGAUUAUUAGGCUUUCACUGAGUAAAAUUCAAAAUGAAUCACCUAGAUUUCUAGAACGUAUACAAAGCGAUAUUUAUGGAGCAAUUCAUCCACCAUGUAGACCAUAUAAAUAUUUUAUGGUAUUAAUAUAUGUAUCAACAAGAUGGUCACAUUUAUGUUUAUUAUUAAUUUGAAAUCUAGCAUUUGCUAGAUUACUUGCUCAAAUAAUUCGAUUAAGAAUAUAGUUUUUAGAAUAUGCUAUUAAGACAAUUUAUUUCGAUUAUACUGGUGAAUUUAUAUCUAAGGCCUUUAAUGUUAUUGUAUGUCAAUUGGAGUAACUAUUGAAUAUCCAAUAGCUCAUUUUCAUACUCAAAAUGAUCUAGCAGAAUUUUUUAUUAAACUUCUCCAAUUAAUAGCUAGACCAUUACUUAUCAAAACAAACCUCCCAAUAAUUGCUUAGGGAUAUAUAAUUUUACAUGCUACAACUAUUAUUUGCAUUAGGUCAACUAAUUAUCAUAAAUUUUUACCAUUACAAUUGGUAUCUGGCCAUGAGCCAAAUAUUUCCCAUUUGAGAACUUUUAGAUAUGUUGUUUAUGUCCCAACUAAACCCCACCCCCACCCCAACGCCGCCCCCCACAUCACAUAAAAAUUGGACCUUAAAGGAUAUUGGAAAUAUAUAUUGGAUACGAAUCUCCAUCUAUAAUUAAAUAUCUUGAGCCGAGAGAUGUCUUUACUGUGAGAUUUAAUGAUUUUUAUUUUAAUAAGGCUUUAUUUUCUAAAUUACCGGGAAAGAACAAGCAAUUAGAGAAAUUAAAUUAUUUGGAAUGAGUCAUCAUUAAAUCAUCUUUAUCCUUAUUCAAAACAAUGGGAACUAGAAGUUCAAAAGAUCAUUUAUUUGCAAAUAUAGCAAGCCAAUUGCCAUAUGCAUUUUGUAAUCCAAAAAGAGUUAUUAAAUCUUAUAUACCAGCUAAAGAUGCUCCAGCUAGAAUUGAUAUCCCAGUAGGAUAACAUAUUAAUAUUAUAGAAAAUAAGUCCAUGACAUGCCAAGAGCAUGGUAGGCCACCUGGUUCCAAGGAUAAAAAUCCAAGAAAGAAAAAGAAACAAAAUAAACCAAGUGAUAGUCCUAAAGUGAUGCUCCUGGAGAGUCUAUAACAAAAGACAUAGAUGAAUAAGUAACCCAAGAAGAGGUUCGAGUGCAUGCAGAUGAUGAAAACAAUGAGAUAUCUAUCAUCUAUGUCACUUUAGGUAAGAGAUGGAACCAAAAUAAAAUUAUUGUCGACUAUGUAUUUGUAUAUGCAGUGGCAAUUGAUAUUGCACUAGAAAGUGAGGACAUUUAAACUUAAGUCUUUCAUUAAAUGUUGAUAAAGAAAUGGCCUAAAUAAAAAGAUGCAAUCCAGGCAGAAUUAAACUCAUUAGAGAAACACCAAGUCUUUGAGCCCAUUGUUUUAAUACCUGAAGAUAUUAAGCUAGUAGGCUAUAAAUAGAUUCUUAUGCAUAAACGCAAUAAGAAAAAUGAAAUUGUGAGAUAUAAAGCAUGACUUGUAGCACAAAGAUACUCACAAAAAUCUGGCAUUGAUUAUGAAAAAACUUAUUCCCAGUUGUGGAUGCAAUUUAUAUUUAGAUUAUUAAUUAGCUUGGCAAGUGUAGAAAGACUUCGUAUAUAACUUAUGGAUGUCAUUACAGCUUAUUUAUAUGAAUCACUUGAUAAUGACAUUUAUAUGAAAGUUCUUGAAAGACUAAAAAUACUUGAAGCAUGUAGCUCAAAAUCUCGAAAAGUGCAUUUAAUUAAGCUAUAAAAAUUCUUGUACGGAUUAAAACAGUAUGGACGAAUAUAGUAUAACUGCCUAAGUUUGAAGGAAUGAUAUACUAACAGUUCAAUAUAUCUAUAUGUUUUUAUUAAGAAAAAAAUUUGGUUUUGCUAUAAUUGCAGUUUAUGUUGAUGAUUUAAACAUCAUUGAGACUCCUGAAGAAUUGAUAGAAAUAAUAACUUAUUAAAAAAAGAAAAUUAAAAUAAAAGAUUUGGGACAAACAAAAUUUUGUCUCAGACUGCAAAUCAAAUAUUUAUUUGAAGAAAUUUUUAUUUAUCAGUCAACUUAUACUGAAAGAAUAUUAAAACAAUUUAAUAUGGAUAAAUCUCAUCCAGUGAGUUCUCCUAUAAUUAUUAGACAUCUGGAUGUGAAAAGGGAUCAUUUUCGUCAUCGGAAAGAUGAAAAAAAUACUUAGUCUAGAAGUAUCAUAUCUUAGUACUAUAUGAGCAUUAAUGUAUCUUGCUAAUUGUACAAGACCUGAUGUAGCAUUUUCUAUGAACUUGCAUAUAGUUAAGAUCUAUGAUCCAACAUAUCAAGGAAAUAUGUGAUCUUCCAUUUAAUAAAGAAAGCCCAACAAUAUUAUAUGAAGAUAAUGUUGCUUGUAUUGCACAAUUCAAAGAAUGAUAUAUUAAAGGAGAUAGAACCAACACAGUUUAUCAAAAGAAAUUUUCACACAUGAGUUUCAAAAAUAAGGAGUUUUAGAUGUUUAUUAAACUCGAUCUAUUAAUAAUCUGACAGAUUUGUUUACAAAAGUACUCCCUACAACAAAAUUCGAGAAGGUGCUGAACAAAAUUGGCAUGCACCGACUAAGAUAUAUUUGUUAUAGAGAUGUUUCAUGAAGGGAAAGUUUUGAUGCAUUGUCCUCUUUUUUUCUUAUCUUAGGUUUUAUCCCAUUAUGAAUAAUAUACUCUUUUUCUUUGACUAAAAUUUUUUUCUAUGAGAUUUUUCUUAGUAAGGUUUCAACGAGGUAUGUUCAUUGUAAUAGAUAUUCAAAAGGGGAGUGUUAUGAUAAUAUUAAAGUGUUUGAGUUAUAUUGGAUGUCUAUAAUUAUGCCUAUAAAUAAAUUUCCUUAUGUAAAUAGAACUUUAUCUCUGUAACUCUUUACAACUAUAAAUAGGUGUUACAAUCAAUGAAAUGAUACAAAAAAAUUACCCUCUCUUCUCUCUUUGUUUUCUUUAUUCUUAUUCUUUAGUUUAUGAUACUCUUUUAUUUUUUCUAUUGUUAUUUAUUUUACAAUAAAUAUAAUAUUAAGUUAAAGAAGGAAAAAAAAAAUUAAAAUUAACUCUAGAAAGCCUCUUUCUUUCUCACUCCAUAAUCAAAGAAGCAACCAUAUUUAUCUAAAGCCUGUAUUAAGUCAGGAUUAUUUGUUCAGUGAAAAGAACAAACUCUUAAUCAAUUUUAAAACCAAAUUCAAUUAUAAAAUAUGUAAAACUGCAGAUAUAAAGCGUGUAUGUACCUUAUACAAAAGACUAAGUAAAUAUCAUGUAGGAAGAGAGAAAAAAAAAAAAGAAAAAAGAAAAAAGAAACAUAAAGCUCACAAAUCAGAGUGAAAGACAAGAUAUAAAGCUCUCCGGAUAAAGAUAAAAAUAUCAUAUAAUCAGAUAUGUAGCAUAAAGCAUGUGUACGCCAAGUUUGCUUCUGCUGCUUGAAGGCGCAACAAGAAUCUUAGGAUCUUAACUCUUAAAUCAGAAUUGUAAAAUUAAAAAAAAAAAAAAAAAAAAGAGAAUUGCAAAAUUUUGUAUGUAAAUCUUAGUAAAUAAUAUAAGAUUAUAAAAAAUUACUGUAAGUGGUAUAAAGUUAUGAUAAAUUUUAAAGUGCCAUAGUUUAUAAUGCCGUAUUUAUUUAUAUUAUUAUACACUUAUUAAAAUUUAUAGAAUUUAAAUUAAAUUUAAAUAAAAGUCCCUUUUGUAAAAUUUUGUAAAUUUUGUAUAUUAAUAUUUUUUUUAUGUAAAUUGUUUAAAGGAAAAACUUUUUAUGUAAAUUUAAUUUAUAUUUUUAAAUUUUUAUUUAAUAAAUAUAAAGACAUUUGAGAAAAAUUAAGUCAUUAUAAAUUAUGGCAUUCUAUAAUUUACCUAUAAUUAUUAUAUGACCUAUAUCAUCCACGACUGCAUGAGAAAUUUCAACAUAUUCUUUGUGUUGAAAUCUAAUAAUAUUUUUUUAUUAUGAAGAGAAUAAUAAUGGAUUCUUAAGCAAAGUAAAAUCUAGAUCUUAAUUAACCAUAGGAGGUAGUAGCUUAGUCGCAUAAAUGAGAAAUCAAGACUAAAAAUUUUAUACUUAUGUAAUUGAGCAAGAAUUUCUUCCCAUUGGACCACAUGCAAAGAUUAUGUUUCUACUAAUCCAACUUUUCUCAAUUUGGAAUCAAUUCGUUAUGCUCUCAAUUCCCAUGUGCAAAGUCUGGCAGAUUAUAUCUUCUGCAUUCCGGGAUGUACCCUGUGAAAUAUAACAAUCACCAAUUUUCGACUCAGUUCCAAACAGACAUUAUAAACAAGAUCAGAGGCUCACAUGUGCGAUAUGGGUAGUGAUUUUUUUGGGUAAUUGUGAAAUUUUUACAUGCAAUUUGCAAAGAAGUUUUAUAAUUUGUUCCUCUGAUUAAGUAGGUUCUACUGAAGUUUAAUUCAUAAUCUCAAAAUCCUAGGGACAACUACUCUGCAGCUUAUCUAAUAACUAAGAGAAAUCAGCAGAGAUGAAGAAAAAAAGGAGCAUAGAAAGAAAUAGUUCAGUGCAAUUAGAUUAUCAUUAGCAUCAUAGCAUGUGAAGAGAGAGAAUUUGACAACUAACUAAUAGAGAAGACUCCAAACUCUACAAUCAGAAAAUGCCUUAUCCUGCAGGCUGCAAUGCCAGGUUGUGCUCACACGUAAGUUAAAAUUCACAACUGUUGUUUCUUCCAAAUGAUCAUCAUCCACCAUGUUAUGGUGCCAGGUAGAUCGUGAAUGAUUCUAUACCCAUGGAAGGUACCCACAUAUGUCAUAAUUGCAAUUUUUAAAUCUGAAUUACUGCUCAGUCUGCACCUAUAAAAACCUUAACCUACUUCACCAUUUUCGUCACCCGCUUGAACAUAUCUCAAAAACUAACCAAGAAACUUUAGUUUCUUUGAUUUUCAUUGAGUUAUGGCUUCAAGAACCCUUGCUUCAACUGCCUUUCUCCUCUCUAUCAACCUUCUUUUCUUCACUUUGGUGAGUUCUACCUAUUGCCCGCCAUCAGCACCGAAAGGGCAUGCACCUCACCCUAUCAAACCAUCACCGGUGCCAUCAUCAAAACCUGCCAAGUGCCCAAGGGACACCUUAAAGCUCGGUGUAUGCGUAGAUUUAUUGAAAGAUUUGUUGAGUGUUACAGUUGGUACCCCACCAAAGACCCCUUGCUGCAGCCUCAUUGCCGAUCUUGUUGAUCUUGAAGCUGCUGUUUGCCUUUGCACCACCAUUAAAGCUAGUCUCUUGGGUAUUAACUUGAGUGUUCCAGUUGACUUGAGCUUGUUGCUUAACUACUGUGGCAAGAAGGUGCCAGAAGGAUUCAAGUGCGCAUAAAUUAAAUGUGCUUGUGUUUGAUUUCUGAUUACUUCAUCAUUUUAUCUUCUCCGUUGUGCUUUUAACUUUUGGGAUGUUUUUAUUGCUUAUGCCAUAUUUUUAAAUCAAUAAAUUCGUAUUGUAUUUUUAUUUUUAAUUAAUUGAUGGAAGACCUGUUGUCUUCUUCUCAUUGUACUGAAUUCAGUUGAAAAUUGAAUUUAUUAUUUAUAAGAGAAGUAUAUAUUCAUGUCACCGUGCACAACUGAACAUAGAUAUAGUUCAAAUAAAUAAAUCGGUAGAUAACCAGACAAGUUAGAUAAAAAUAUGCAGAAUCAAGAUUUGAAAGAGCCAAGAUGAAGUAGCAUUAAUUUUAACCAUGCAUCAAUUUCUUUCAGAUGCGCAAAAAGAAAAGCCAAGCUUGACAAGAGCUUCAAUUCAAAUAAGACAUGAAAAUAGAGAUUCCAAAUCAAAAGCUUGCAGUAGAAAAUUGAGAGAGAAAGCAGGACAUUAAAUGUAACAUACAAGCUGUAGAAGCACUAAAACUUGCAUGUCGUUAAGUAUACCACAAAAGUGGACUUUCAAGAGCAGCGUACAAACAAGACUGAAAUUCGUACUUUUAACUGUUUACUUAUAUUGGGCUGAUUCAGGCUCGUUGAUUUAAUGACUUUAUAAUAUUUUUCAGUUUUUUUUUUUUGUUGUUGGCUGGGUUCGAAGCGAAUUCUAAAAUCAAUCUCUUGGGCAUGAACUUAAGUGUUCCAGUUGAUUUGAGCUUGUUGCUCAACUAUUGCAGCAAGGUGGUGCCGAAAGGUUUCCAUUGUGCAUAAAUAUGUGCCCUCUUUUUAGUUAAAUUUUAUUAGUUUUCUUUUUUUAAACCUUUUUCAUCAUGUUCUGUUUCAGCUUUGCAAUGCUUUUGGCCUGCGCCAUAAACAUUUAAUCAAGAAUUUUACUGUGUAACAAAUUAAUAGAGAUUUGUUUUUAUAGAUGAAUUGAAGGCUUCUUGUCAUUCUUGUGCAUCCACCCUUUUAUGUUUGUACUGAAGUUAUUUUAUAAGUGGUGUGAAUGAAAUAAUUAAAGAAGCCUAGUUAUUCUGAGAAAGUAGUUCUAAGGAAAAUACGAAAUCAAAUUUUGUAUGCCCUAAUAUACAUUUCAAUAUUUUAGCAUUUGUUCUAUAAUGCAAGAGACCAGAUGCAAAAGCCAGAUAGAACAUUCAGACAAAGUCAGAGAAGCCAAAAAAAGAACUUGGAUAAUGAAAUGCUGCAAAAAGCAAUGAUGAAGUAGCCGCUAAAAUCCAUCAUGCUUUGAAAUGCGAAAAAUAGAGGGCAGCUUUGACAAAACUAAAUAAGAUAGUCGAUCCUUUUAAAUCAUAGCUUCCUUGAGAAAAUUGAUAAAUUUAACAACAGAAUAUAAAUAUAAAAAUAUACAUACAGAGGCAAAAAAAGUUAAAAUUAUAAAUUGAGGAACUUUAUAAUUUAAAAAAAUAAUUGAAAAGUAUUAGAGAUUAAAUCAGUAAAAUUUAGAGGUGAAAAUCUUAUUUAAUUUGUUUCAUUGGAUGCUCUCAUUUUAAAUUGAUAAGAGAUUUAUUAAAAUUGCCAUAUACGGUGGUUGUAGUUGCCGGAGUGUUAAUAUGUUUAAUUAAUCCAAUCAAAGACUGAGAUGUGUUAAAAUCUGUUUUCUAGCCAUCGUAGUAAAUUCUUUUAUUUAACUCAAUUAAACUUAACGUGAGCUAAUCUAUUUAGUUAACCCAAAAAUAAUCUCUUGCUCUCUCGGAUAAAAAUCACUCUCAAACUAAACUCUUUUUUAGUUUUAACAAAAUCAAAAUCCCUAAAAUCCUCUAAUCAAAAUCUAGUUCAGUUAGAAUUCGGAAAAGGAGAAUGGAGAUUCUAGUUUUUUACAUGUGAGAAUAGUAUUUUCAGAGAGGAAAAGAUCAAUAAUGAGUUAACUAGCAUAAUUUAGUUUAGAUUAAGAUAGGUUAACGUGUCAACAUUUAGGCACCUAUAACCAUCAUGCAUACACGGUUGUAAUAAAAUAUGUGAUUAAAAUAAAAUUAAGUAUGAUAUUAAGAAAUCUUUUAUAUUAUUAUUUUAAUUUCAGUCUUGAAACGCAUUUAUUAAAAAAAUAAAAAAACUAAUUAUGAUUUGUAGAUCAAUACCUCAAAUCGAAUGUCACACGUAUUUUUAUUUUUUUCCUUGAAAUGAGCUGCAUGCCAAACAUUAGAAUUUACAAGGCCUAAGUCGGACUGUAUACCACGAUCUCCUGCACGACAUUUAACAGAAGUUUUCAAGGAUUUAAAGCACAAAAAAUUAACAUUAAAAAUUGAGAGAGAGAUUUGUACGAUUUUUGACUUUUCGCGCAGAAUAAUAUAAGAAGAUAUUUCUGUAAUUCAUUAAUGCCAGUCCAAAACUACGUGAUCCCUAGCAACGAAUGAAUCUAAAAAUAGCAGCGACAGAGCACCUGAACUUCAGGAAUUGCGGCCGAAUUGGACUUCAACUGGUGUGAAAUUCUGACUUUAGACUUGUGAAUUUUUGCUAGUUGACAUUUUAUUUAUGUUUGAGCUGAAUUUAUUAAAUUCCUUGCCUUCUUCGCCUUUUCCUAGUAAGGGAAAAGGAGACUACUGACUUUACUACACUUUCUCCCUUCGAUCGCCUCCAAUCGCCUGAAGUCAUUUUUUUCUUUUCAUUUGAUCGCUUGAAUGGAAAUCGAAUAAGAAGUUCAUCCGAAUCAUGAACGAGUGACGCGCGUGGAAAGGGGAAUUGAGCAAGUCACAGCGUAGUCUUAUAGCAAUCUUAUGAAAUAAUCCCUCCUAUCUGUCGCUAUCAGUUAGUCUGUACAGUGUAUUCUAUCUUCAAUUCUUAGUAAAAGGUCUCUUUAUACGCUAUAUGCUCUGUGGCAAGAUUAAUAUUGUGUUUAGCUGAAUUCAACAAGAAAUUUAUCUCAUUUGAAAAAAUUACAUGAAAUAUAAAAUAAAACAAAAAUGAUAAAGUUGAAAGAGAUAUAUAUUAAUAAAUUAAUAUGAAAUUUAUUUAGAAAUUCUAUCUAUUUUGGUAGAAUUUGGUUCAUAUAUAACCAAUUUCAUUUAAAAUAUAUAAAUUUUAGAUUUGUAAAUAAAUUACAUAAUUUUAUAAAUUUCGACUAAAUAAAAUAUAAUUUAACAUAAUUAAAAUUUAAGCAAGUUUAAUAAAUAUAAAUAUAAAAUAUAAAAUUUAGAAUUCAAUUAUUUUUAAAUUUUAUUAAAAAGUAAAAUAUUUAUAUACAAUCGUAACAUAUUCUUUUAAAAAAGCUUAUAAUUGUAUUGUAGUAGGUAUUUGAAAUUUAAAUAAGUAAAAAUAUAUAAAUUUUAUAUUUAAAUUUUAAAUUACUAAUAGAUUAAUUUACGAGUUAAUUCAUAGGAGUAUUAAUCAGUCAAAUUAGUCUAAUAAAGUAAGUUUAGCUAGCUUGAGCUCAACUCAUUUAUUAGAAGAUCAAAUGAAUUCUUACCGAAUAAUUCAAGAGCCAUUCAUUUUAUUGUAAAUUUAUUUGAAUUACUAAUUUGAAAAUAGUAUCUCAAUAUUAUAGUAUGUGUAUUCUUUCUCGAUAGUAGUCCAAGAGAAUAUGACUAGAUAGAGAAUGUCAACAUCUGCAGCUCCAAUAGGACUCAUAACUCAUUAUUUGCCUCCUAAGCACUUAGAACACAGUCCAAUCAUGCAAGAUGGUCCUCCAAGAAUGGAAAUUGUCGUCUUUGCAACUAGAGAGAAAGGGAAGUUCCUCAAGCUAGCUGAACCCUGCAACACUAUGUCACCCUUCAAAACCAUUGAAACAGCAGAUAAAACUCCAAAGAGCAAUGUAAAGUUACUGUCAAAUAACUUGAACAAAAUCCUUAGCACCAAAAACUGCAAGUAUUGACUGCAAAAUCUUCAAAACGAAAGAAACUUUCCACAUUCUCAGCAAGAAAAUGAAGUAGAUCAAGACCCAUUACGGGUUGUCAAAAGACUCCAUAUAGGAGUCCAUAAACAGGAAGGUAGAGAAGAAACUAAAGAAAGAGAACUAAAAUUAGACUAAAUUAUUUAACUAAGCAUGAAAAUGAAAUUGAAAUGAGGGACCAAAUAAAAUAUGAGAAUUAUUAAAGAGAGGAAAAUUUCUGAGAACUCAUAAAGAACAUUUUAAUACCAAUUGACAUUUAAUGUUCAAGUAAUUAAGUUGCAGUGAGCCACUAACAAAAUGGUAACUUUGGACAUGGCAUGAUGGCUUACAACUUGCACGAAUUCUAGUACUGAUGGUAACUUUCCUCCGUCGAAUACAAUCACAUUAAUAUAUAUAUAUAUAUAUAUAUAAAUAAAAAAUAAAAAAAUAAGACAACACUUAGAAGAUAACAGUGUGUGUAUAUAUAUAUAUAUUAUUAUUAUAUUGUAUAUAUUCAAUUCAUGUUCUCUUCCAUUGCAAUGCCAGGUUGUGCCUAGUAUAUAAUCCACAUGAACCAUAUAAUGAGAAUUUUAAAAGGACAAGUUGCACUUAAUCUCCUCCUAUAAAACCCCUUAGCCUACUCCACCAUUUCCAUCAAACAAGGUGCAAAAGCUUAUAUAUCUUAAUAAGCAUUCAACACUUCUAAAACAUCUUCGAAAUGGCAUCAAAAGCUUUUGCCUCCACUGCCCUUCUCCUCUCUCUCAAUCUCCUCUUCUUUACUUUGGUCAGCUCUACCUACUGCCCACCGCCACCAUCACCAAAGCCAAAAUCCCCCGCACCUCACUCCAGCUACCCAUCAUCAAAACCUACUAAAUGCCCGAAGGAUACCCUAAAGCUGGGUGUAUGUGUCGAUUUGUUGAAAGAUUUACUGAGUGUUACAAUUGGUAAACCACCAAAGUCCCCUUGCUGCAGCCUCAUUGGCGAUCUUGUUGAUCUUGAAGCUGCAGUUUGCCUUUGCACUACCAUCAAAGCUAGUCUCUUGGGCAUUAACUUGAAUGUUCCAGUUGAUUUAAGCUUGUUGCUCAACUACUGUGGCAAGAAGGUUCCUGAGGGUUUCAAGUGUGCAUAAAUAUAUGCAUUCUAAUUGGUUAAUUUUAGUUUUUACCUUCUCUUCCUCAUGCUGUGUUUUAGCCCUGGAAUGUUUUUAUGGCUUGUGCCAUAGACAUUCGAUAAUAAUUUCUCCAUGUACCAUUUCUUUAUCUGGUUGUACUGAAUUCUAUUGAAAAUUGAAUGUGGCAUUAAUUUACUAAUAAAAGAAUUAUUAAUUUGGUAAAGAAUGAGUGAAGGCAUUUCUUUCCUGUCAAAUAUUGGUUCAAACUCACUCAAUAUUAUUGCGUUAAUUACAUGUAACAAUUAUUUGAAACUAAAGAAGUCGGAAAGCAAGAGAAAAUCAGCAUACUUUUCCUGUUAGUUGCUUUAUAUAAUUAAGCCUGUGAUUAAGUAUUUGUCCCAUCUACCUAAUAAUGUUAUCCAGUAGCAAUGGAUUUAUUUGGAAGUCAGUAAUUAAAUGAAAAAAAUUAAGAAAUCAGAAAAUUAACAGCAUAACAUUUAGCACCGAAAGUUGCUGAAUUAUGAAUGUAGACAGCAACGGAAAGAAACUGCAACAGCCCACAGGCGGCACACUGUAGAAGGCUUCAAGAAUAUCUAAAGUAUCCAUUUCACACACUACUGCAUUUGAAUCAUAAAACAAGGAUCUAUUUGGUUUGAGCCUGUUAAAACACUUUUAUUUGCUUUCGAAUGAGCCAAAACAAUAUUAGUUCGUGAUCUAGGAUUUUUCAUAAGAUUUGCCAGUGUGGAUCAAAAGACAUGUGCACUUCUUAUUUAUCAGAAGGGUGUUCUUUAUCAUCACAGCUUUUGAGCCAAGUGAACCACAUAACACAUUGAAUUAUCUAUGAAAUAUCAUCAGACAUAUUUUCAGUCUGAAAAAACUGAUAUUCUGAAUUGAAGAUCGGUACUUUAAACAAUUCGGCAUCUUUACAACCCUUUUCCUUGAAAUGAGCUGGAAAAUAACACAUGCCAAGCAUUAUAAUUUACAAGUCCUUUCUCUAGACAUCGAUCUGAUGAAUAAUUUACAAAGAUGUCAAUGCAAUAAAAAUUUUAAAAUAAAAUUUGAGAGAGUGAUUUGUGUGAUUUUUGACUUUUCCUCUCACAGAAUAAUUUACAAAAAAGUCUCUGUAAUUCAUUAACGCCGGGGGAUCCGUAAUCACAAGAUCGGCCAUAACAGAAUCUAAAUUAGCAGCAAAAAAGCUUCUUUAACGUCAGGAACUGACAACAUAUUAUUUUCCGUGCGAAUUUGAGAAUUUAGAGUCGUGUAAUCAUUCCUUAUCAUUUUGUCAAAAGUUCCUCAAUUAAUUUCGGGUCUUUCUCUUAAUUUAAAAAAAUAAAAAUAAAAACUUCUUUUACACGUGAUAACUUUGAUCACUUUCAUACAUAACAUUUUAAAGAUUGAAGUUAGAACCGACCUGCUAGAUAUGGACAAUAGCAUGACGAUAUACAACUUGUACAUUUUUAGUACUAAAUUGGUAAUUUUCCUUUAUAAAAUAUAAUUAUAUACAUAUAUAUUUUAUAUUUAAAAAAUAGAGAUACUCUUUUAUCAAAGAAACUUUUAGCAUAUGGUUUUCCUAAAUAAAAUGUUCAUAUAUUUUUAAAUUUUAUGAUACAUUAUUAUUAGAUGUUAUAGUAUUUAUAAAAUUAUGUUUUAUUUAUAAUUUAAAUUAAAUAUAUCUAAAAUUAUAUAAUAAAAAAAGAAUUAUAUAUAUAUAUAUAUAUAAUACUAAAAAAUAAUAAAAGUUCUUGUUUACCAUAUAUAUACUAAAUUAAUAGAUGAUUGACGCAUAUUUAUUAAUUUUAAAUAAAUGAAUAUACAUCAAUCGACUAUACCUAAGUGUAAAACACUCGAAUACUAGUCAUUCUCCUAUUAAUCGGGUGUAUACACUAAGCCUAAGUGAGAAUUUCUAAAAAAAAUAAAAUAUACGGUAUUUUAUUGAUACGAGAAUACUUUUAUUCCUUGAGUAUAAAAAUCUAAAUUGAUGUUUUAAAGUUUACCAAGAAAUUGAUAAAUAAUAGUAAAUAUAUAUGAAUAAAAAAAAUACGAUUACAAAUGCCAUCGUUUUCUGCUUCAUUGCAAUGCCAGGUUGUGCCCAAUGACUUGACCCACAUAAACCACAUUUGAGAAUUUUAAAAGGACUACUUGUACUUAAUCUCCUUCUAUAUAAACCUUUAGCCUACUCCACAAUUUCCAUCAAACAAAGUGCAAAAGCUUAUAUAUACCUUAAGAAAGAAUAUCCAAGAAUUCUAAAAGCAUUUUUGAGAAAUGGCAUCAAGAGCUUUAGCCUCUACUGCCCUUCUCCUCUCCCUCAAUCUUCUCUUCUUCAGUUUGGUGAGCUCCACAUAUUGCCCACCACCUCCAUCACCAAAGCCAGAACUCUCUAAACCUCACCCCAGCUACCCAUCACCAGUGCCAUCAUCAAAGCCUACUAAAUGCCCAAAGGAUACCCUAAAGCUGGGUGUAUGUGUCGAUUUGUUAAAAGAUUUGUUGAGUGUUACAAUUGGUAAACCACCAAAGACCCCUUGCUGCAGCCUCAUUGGCGAUCUUGUUGAUCUUGAAGCAGCUGUUUGCCUCUGCACCAGCAUCAAAGCCAGUCUCUUGGGCAUUAACCUAAACCUUCCUGUUGAUCUGAGUUUGGUGCUUAACUACUGUGGCAAGAAGGUUCCUGAAGGAUUCCAAUGCCCAUAAAUCCACUUCACAGCUUAAAUUCAUUGCUUAAACUCGCGUUCUUCUUGUAUUCUCGUUUGAGAUGUUUUUGGCCUAUUGAUAUGCCAUUAACAUUUAAUCAAUAAGUUAUCAUUAAUAAAUCAUUACUUCUAUUAUUUCUUUUUAUUAGAAAGUGACCAACCUACACGGUAAUAAAUUAUAAAUGUUAUUCCCUUUCGUCUUUACUAUAUAUAGGCAUCGAUAAGUAGAAUAAGUCCUUAAAAUAAUUAGAAAAAUAAAUGUGAUACAUAAUAUAAUCCUUUUUCAUGUGAUAUUGAUUUAAAUGAUUCGGUGUCUAUGCAAACAAUACAAUGAUUAUUAGGACAUAAAUAUCUCACCGAAGUUAAUGGCUCUUGCUGUUGACUAAAGAUAUAUUUUUACAGAAAAUCUUUUAACAAAAACAUUAUACAAAGAAUUGCUCCCCAAACAUCAGGGAUCUGCUAAAUAUGGAUAGUUGAAUGUGCAAGGAAGUGGAUAGAUAGUUUUUUAAUUUUCAUUUAGAAGUGUUUGUGCCCAAUUUUUAGAAGUUAGCCUCUAUAAUUAAUCAUGGUCUCAAAUUAAAAGAUAGUCCAAGCUAAAACGUUACAGAGUCCAGUAUUUAUGGAGCAUCCGGUCCAAGAUUACAAAUAACGGGGGCAUAGUUAUCUAAGAAAAUUAAGAAAUGGAGGGAAUGGAAAAGUUGCAGAAAACUAUCGGAGAAGUGAAAUUAUGGUGCAAUUUCUAUUACAAAUUUAGUGUAUUGGAUUUUUAGUGUUUGAAUUAUUUUUUUUAUUUCAUUAAAUGUCGGAAUCUACAAAUUCAUGUAUACUCGAGUUUUUUUUUACGGGUUAAAAUAAUAAUUUUACUUAUUUUACACAUAAAAUGACUUCAAUAUCCUUAUUUCUUAUUACUCAUAAUUUUUAUUCUAUUUCCUUUUUCUUCUUUUUCUUAUUUAUUUUCUAUUAAAUCUUUUUCUAACACUAAAAAUGCAAAAAAAAUUGAAUUAAGUUUUCUUUUUCAUUUUUUAUUCAUCUUUUAAGGGGAAAGAAUAUAUUUUAUUUUUAUCGUUUUAGGUGCAUGUAAAGAAUGAAAAGAAUAACAACUACUUUUUUAAUAAUCUUCCGAUAAAUAAAAAAUGAAAUUGUAUUAUUUUUUCUUUUAAUUUCUUGAGAAAUAAACAAAUAUUAAAAAAAAACUCUUGAUAUUAGAUAAACAAAAGAAACGAAAAAAAUAAUAAUAAAAUUAAUUUAAAAAAUAGUAUAUUUAAAUUAUUUUAUUGCUCAAAACAAGUCAUGUAGAUGUUAUAACCUAUAAAGUAAGAUAUUUUAUUAAACAUUUUUAGCAGGUUGAAUUUUUAAUUGAACAAAAAAAAUAUCUUAAACAUUAAAAUAGAAAAAAAAGUUAAAGCACUGUGAUUUUCCAAUUUCUAAUAACACCUUAGCAUUUAUGUAGUUUCUUGUUAUUUUUUAAUUCCAUUGGUACAGUUUAUACUAUCGUUCUGUCAAUUUGUGCAAUUAACUAGUUAGAAAAUCAAGCUCUAUUAACGUUAUUAUUAAAGUAAUUCAAUUAAUUAUUUAGUUGGGUUAGAAAUGGAGUUUUCAAAAGAUUCUAUCCAGUGUCCCGCAUCUGAUUCAUUACAAAUUCAACAAAAAUAAAUAUUUUUAUUUCAAACCGAAUUUGGAAAUUCAGAGAUUAUAUUUAUUGGGUUAAAGAAAAUCUUAAGUAUGAAUCCUCUUUCAUGUAAAACUAAACAAGUUUAUUUGAAAUAUCUUUAGAAGAUCAUGCAUCUUCCACACUGCAAAUUAAUUAAAAUGCUAUGUUCUCCGGUGCCAAUGAAUUCAUAAAACUUUAACAGUUUUAAUAAUAUUGUGUUCUUAUAUAUUAUAAGUGAAGAGAUAAUUCAGAUAUAAAACUAUAUUUAAAUUGAGGUAUACACUUAUUAUAAGAAUAAAUAUGUAAAAAUUAAUAAUAUUAUUUUAAGUACACAUAAUUAAUUACUAGUUCUCAAUUUGUUCAUAAGUAAGCAGUACAAUAAAAUUGAAAUAAAAGAAGAAUAGCAAUUAUGGUGAGUUGGAAUGCCAGGCCAAUCACAUUAUAAAAUGUGUCCUAUGAUUUCACGCGCAAAAAACCAAAAUUAAUAACCCAAAAAGAAAAGUAGCAAUCCAAUAAUCAUAAACCUAGAACAAAGAAAAGUACCUACGUGGGUGAGAGUAGUCGAGUGAAUGGCUAAUAUAUUCUUGGGAGUGGUGAACCUGUUGUUGGACAAGUAUACAGUUAUGGAUCGGUCAUGCCACAUCUUCGCAAUCUUGAAUAUACAGGCGAUCUCUUAUAAGUUUUCUUUAUUUAUUUAUAACUUGGUGAGCUUAUAGUUCGCUCGAGACAAUCUAUUUAGGUAAAUAUGUAUUAAAAGUAAUUUAUAUAAAAACAAUUAUUUUAUCUUUUACUUAAUCUCCAUCUAUAAAAUCCUCCACUCACAUAACCAAUUUCAUCAGCAUCUCAAAACUAUAAAAGAAAUAGGACAAUUAUAUCUCAAAAACCAUCCAAGAAUUUUAAGAUUUUAUUGAGAAAUGGCUUCAAGGAACUGUAGCCUCCACUGCCCUUCUCCUCUCCCAUCACCACCAUCACCAAAGCCAAAGGUUCCUUCACCUCAUUGUACAUAUCUAUCACCAGUGCCAUCAUAAAAGCCUAUCAAAUGCCUAAAAGAUAUCCCAAAGCAAAUUUAUUCAAGGAUUUAUUGAUUGUUAUAAUAGGUAAACCACCAAAAAGAUCCCCUGUUGCAGCCCUAUUAGCGAUCUCGUUGAUCCUGAAGCCGCUGUUUGCCUUCUCACUACCGUCAGAGCUAGUGUCUUGGGCAUUAACUGGAACCUUCCUGUUGACUUGAGAUUGUUGCUUAAGUACUCUGACAGUACCAGAGGGAUUUAAAUGCGCAUAAUUCAGUCCCUAAAUUUCUAGUUAAUAAUUUUAUUGCUUGGUAUAAUAAUACUUGCGAAUUAAUGAUGCUUCCAUGAACAAUAAUUUUUAUAUUCAAUUACUGCCAUUCUUAUUUUGAUGGCCAGAAGGAUUCUUGCUUUGUUCCAUAUAUCUCCGUAUCCAUCGUUUCCAUGUAGUAAAAUAAAAUAAGCUACUUUGUUGCUAAAAUUUAAUUAAUUUAAAGAUUUUAUAAGUGUUAAGAUGUAAUUAACUGAAUAGCUACUACUAAUUAUUUGAUAAUGGUUGAAUUCAAAUUCAAUAAGAUUCAACUUUUAUUAAAUUAAAUUUUUACAUUUUAUUUAUUUAUUUAUUCACCUCUCUUUUUUUUUUAAUUUAAGAAUUAGCACUCGUUUUAAUAGUAAAUACAUAUAUCAACUUGAGUAAAGUUUUAAGUUUUAAGUCUUAUUCCUUUCAUUUGUAAUUCAAAAAGAUUUAAGCAUUAGAAUGGUUUUUCACUUAAAAAAAAAAAAAGAUUAAAGUGGUUUUAAAUUUGAAUAUCUUCAAGUAUCUAAGGACUUUAUCAUUAGCUCAUUACGUGGAGGGUGUAAAUAGACCUAUUUAGAGCUUAAUCGGCCCAAUCUAGUCUGAUUAAUUAAUAAUAUAUACUGUUAAAAUAGUUUAUAUUAUAUAAAACUAUGUCAAAUAAAAUAUUAUAUUUAUAUAUAUUAUUACAUUGUGUACAUAGAAGAAAACUAUCCGUCUUUCUUGCAAUAAUGCAUAUGUUCGUAUUGCAAUUGGUGACCUCUCUGAAACUUUUUCAAAAAAGAAAAAAGAGGUUCUAUAGGUACAUAAGAAUUAUAAUGUAAUAAAACUUACCCUUUAAGUAUUGAUUGAUAGGACGAAGUGGAGUAUUAUAUGCAUAUUAUUUAGGACUCAAUAAUUGAAGAAGAAUUUGAAUUCAUUUGUACAAAAUUAGACCAAUUUUAGAAUUUGUUGACAAUUUAUAUUUUAUUGAAAAAUUGGUAAUAUAAGUGAGACAUAUAAUAAUUUAUUUUGAAAAAAAUUUAUUCAAAAUAAAUUAUGAAUGAAUGAUAAAUUGAUACUCAUUGAAUGUUGACAUGAAAAAAUUAUAUGAAAUACCAAAAGUCAUAUGAUAUGUUUUAAGUUAUGGAUUAAUGAUGAAUUAAUCAUGAUAUAUCAAAAGUUAUGGAUAAAUGAUGAAUUAAUCAAUGAUAUACCAAAAGUCGUGAAUAAAUGAUGAAUUAAUCAUAUGAUAUAUCAAAGGUCUCAAAAAUAUGUCAAAUAUCAUUUCCUUACAUUAAUCAUUCCUUAUAUAUAUCAUCCAUAUUUCUUUCAUUUAAAGCGUGAAAAAGAUAAUCUUCUCUUCUUUUCUUUGCUUUCAAGUGUGAUAAAACUUAAACCUACUUCAAAUUCGCUGAUACAGUUAUUGUGGUGCUCAUCAACUGUAUUGAUCCGCUUUAUUAUGGGAAAUAGACGUUAUAUCAUUCUCAAAUACCAAUGGUGAUAGGCGAAUUUGUUUUAAAGAGAUUGUAUGAUACACAAGGAUCAUAUUUCUGAUGUCCUAAUUUUUCUUCACUGUUAUCUUGAUCUCGUUAUACUGGUGUACUAAAAUUUAUAUUUUGAUGUCUCUCUUUGAAUUUAGAAAUUUUCAGACUAUUGACAUCCUAUAUAUUUUACAUCAGUAUCCUAUUUUAUUACUUUAUAUUACUGCCUUUAUAAUUUUAGUAAUUAUUGUUUACUUUUAAUUUUAAAUUUUAGUAAUUAUUUAUAAUUUAUAUAUUAUUACUAACACUUUUAACAUUGAAAUAAAAUUACAAAAAGGGUUUCCUUACACAGACAUCAUAAAGUUUUUUUUCUUUUUUCUUUUUAGAGGAAAGAUAAGAACUUUAAUUAACAAAACAGACGUCAUCAAGUUAGUAUCAAAGGACAAUUUGCUAAUUUAUCUUAAAGGAAGAAAUAAGACAAAGAUUAUAGCAUUUGCUUAGGGGUUCAGUAUGUGAUUAAUUUCCUAACGUGGGAAGAGGACCGCUGAAAAAUGGAGAUCAGGUUUAUACUUAUUCAGUGAAACAGAAGAUGCAACGCACUUAACGACAAAUAAGAAAAUAAAUCUGCCCCUUGAAUGAUUGACUUUAUUUCUAAGAUGCACUUAUUUGUAUGAUCUUUUCCCCAAACCAUUUUUUCUUCUUUUAAAGAAACGACUUUUUUCUUUCCUUUCUUCUGUUAGACUUAUUUAUUAUUGAUAAUAGAUAAGUAAAUAAAUGCUUUAUAUUUAAAUACCACAUAAUUUUAUAUUUAGAUAUUUAAUAAUUAAUAUAUAUUUUAAUUAUUUAAUAUUAAUAUUAUUAAAAAUUUGAAUUAAUUAAUUGAAAAAUGAGUUGAACAAAUGAAACAGUGUAGAGUCCAAUUAAUAGAUUUGAAUUUGAAUCCAACUAAUAUUAAAAUGACUAAUACUAACUACUUAACUAGUUGAUGUUUAUAUUUCUUAUUUUUUUAAUAAUAUAAAUUUUUAAUAAAUAUCAUAUAUAUUAUUUAUUUAUUAAUUUAAUAUAUAAAUAAACACAUCCACUACGGCUAUAUAAAUAUAUUUUUUUGGGAAGGUUAAGGCUCAUAUACACCUUACAUUUUUGCCAGAAUAGUCACAUCACCUCUUUGCAUUUUUUUUUUAUGGAGUAAAUUAUUUCGACUCCUGAUUCUUGAGGUAAUGUAAAAUUUUUCUAGGAUAAAUUAGUAUGAUUCUACAUCAUAUUAAAAUUAUUAUGCAUCAUUUCAAAUAUAAAUUAAAAAUAAAAUUAAAAUAUAAAUAUGCUUUAAUUAAUGUAUUAUUUGUUUAAAUUUUAAUAAAGAGCGACAUUAUAUAUUAAACCAAAUCUCAAAGAGUUCUAAUAUAUAAUUAAAGAAUAGGAUCAAAUUCUGUAUUCUUAAAACCUCGAAAGAGAAGCUUUGAUAUAUUUUUUUAUUUAAAAUAAUUUAAAAAAUAUCAGAUAUGGUCUCUAUGGAUGGUAAAAUACUAUCUUAAAAAUUUUAAUACAUUUGCAUAUAUAUCAAAGUUUGAAAUUAAAAUCUUAGUUAAACUAGAGAAGAUUUUUAUCAUCUCACCUGCAAUCUUGCCUCAGAGCUUUUAAUAUCGAACAAACUAUAAGUAUAUUUUAGCUGACAUGGCAUCCAGAUAGGACCACCUAACAUAGACACAUAUCACUCCUAAGAAACAUUCAGAAUCCAAUAUAAAUUACCCCUAAUAAUGCUGAAAGUUAACAGACACAUUCUCUAUUUCUAACUACAACUAUAUCAUCAUCACCCUCCCUAAGCCACAGGGAAUACCAGAGUACAGUUUCUCUAGUGUAAGACCCACUUCAACAAGGUGGCGUAGCUUCCAUACUUCUAAACAUAGGCGGUUGGAUGACUAUUAGUGAUAACUCGGGUGACUGAGACGAGCUAUCAACAAGGAUCUUCAAAGGUUGACCUCAACCUUUGGAGUGAGUGGUUGGACAACCCUGAAGAGCUCGCUGGCCAAAUCAACUUCAAAGUUGAUAUUAAGGAGCUCAAGAAUAUGCAUCCUUUUAAAAAUAGUCUGAAAAUUUGUUGCUCGGGAGUGAAAAUGGGAAGGCAAGCUUCAAGUUGCUAAUGCCUAAGGUGAAAAUGCUACUACUCAGCUCAGCUCGAUCAUGGUUGAGAAAAGAAACGUCGAUCUUUAUAUUGUCGACCUUACGGGCUAUGACAUUGGGAAAUGCUCGGAAAAAUUUUAAGACAGCUGAGUCAGCAAGCCUCUCAUGGUCGUGUUAAAGCGAAGAACCUCGAGCAUAUCCUCCAAAAACAGUUUAAGGAAUUUGUUGCUCAAGAGCGAAAGUGGGAAGGCGAGCUUCACACUGCUAAUGCCCAAGCUAAAAAUACUACUACUCAGCUCAGCUCGAUCAUGGCCGAGAUAAGAAACAUCGAUCUUCAUAUUGUCGAGUUAGAAUUAGAAUGUGUGUUCCAUUCCUCUAAAUUUGCUGAUCAAACUACGGUUAAUGAGAAGUAAAGGCUAAAAAGGACGGAUUAUAUUCGGAGAUGUCAUUUCUUUUAUCUAGUUACGAGGAAGCUGUUAAAGAAUAUGUUCAAAAGCACACUUCUCAGGGUUUAGUUUAAGCUAGUAACUCUCCAGCAUGCUGAAUGCUUCUUAGAAUGUGUGUUCCAUUCCUCUAAAUUUGCUGAUCAAACUACGGUUAAUGAGAAGUAAAGGCUAAAAAGGACGGAUUAUAUUCAGAGAUGUCAUUUCUUUUAUCUAGUUACGAGGAAGCUGUUAAAGAAUAUGUUCAAAAGCACACUUCUCAGGGUUUAGUUUAAGCUAGUAACUCUCCAGCAUGCUGAAUGCUUCUUUUAAAUCUUUGGCAUGAUCCUCGACCCUUGCUGACUUGAUGAUCAUCUCGUCUACAUACACCUGCAUAGUUUUACCGAUAUAGUCUUUGAAUAUAUUGUUUACCAAUCUUUGGUAUGUCACUCCAGUAUUAUUUAGACCGAAAGUAUAACCGUAUGGCAAAAGGUGCCAAUGUCUAUUACAAAAGAAGUCUUCUCCUUAUCCAACUUGAAUAUUUUAAUCUGAUGAUACUUUUGAGCAGUGUCAACAAAACUGUAAACCUUAUAGCUGCUGGUGGAGUGUACCAACUGAUCAAUAUUAGGCAGAGGAUAAUUAUCCUUUGGUCAAGCCUUGUUUAGAUCUGUGAAGUCUACAUACAUUUUCCAUCUUUUGUUUGGCUUUUUUACUAAUACCACAUUUGUUACCCAGUCUGGAUAUAUCACUGGCUUGAUGAACCUUGCCUUUAGCAGUUUAUUAACUUCCUCCGCUAUGGCGAUCUGCCUUUCGGUGUAAAGCUUCUCUUCUUCUAUUUGAUAGGCUUGGAGGUAGGGCUCACAUUCAACUGGUGGGAGAUGAUGCUCAGAUCUACACCAACUAUCUCAGAGGGUGAGCUGGCGAAUAUGUGCUUUUUCUCUGUAACCACUUGCUCUAUACUCCGAGUUAUUUACUCCAAAAGUUUAGUGCCAAUUUGGACCGACCUUCGUUUGCCUUUGCCCGACCUUCAUCGGUUGGAUGUAAUGUAGCUUCUACAGUGAGUGCUUGACAUGAUCCCUUUAACCCGGUAAGAUAGCAUUCUCUUGCCAUCUUUUGAUUGCCGAGCAUUGAUAUUACCUCUCUAGAAGUCGGUAUUUUUAGCUUCAAAUAAUGAAUGCUCGUGGCUGCUUUGGUUUCCAUCAGCAUAGGUCAUUCGAAGACUACAUUUUACGUGAAUGGAAUGUCGAUUAUCAUGAACGAAGUUUGCUACUUUUUAGUUAGCCCUUUUAUUAUGUCCGCCUUUCCAGUUUCCUGUCCGAGCUCUACAGUCAACGCUGCAAUUCCUAAAGGUUACACUGUUUGGCUAUCUAAGCCUAGAAGUGGUAUCAUGCAAGGUUUCAAAUUCAUUACUUCGCCACCAAUGGCCUUGUAGCACUCUAGAGUCAUGAUGUUGACUACACUUUCGUGAUCAAUAAACAACCUCCUUACUCAGUAAUUCUCAAUGAAUCCCGAGAUUACCAGGGCGUCUUGGUGAGGCAUCUCAAUCCCUUCUCCAUCUUUUUCUAAGAAGACUAUAUUUGGGAGCUUGUUAUGCUCAGUCAUCAUAACCUAGGCCCUCUUUCUAUUGGAGUUUUUAAGCAACAAACAUAGCUUCCCCAAAGAUCACAUUCACAUUUCCUUUCUUUCCGUCUCUUUUUUCUAAGGACUUAUUCUGAUUUCUAUCCCUUGAUCCUCUGAAUCCCCUAAAACCUUUAUCUCUGUCAGACCGGCCUUCUCCCUCUGUAAUUUACCUCUUAAGAUAGUCUCUCUCAAUUAACCUUUCAAUCUCCUCUUGAAAUGAAUGCAGUCCUCAGUGUCAUGACCAUGACCAGUAUGGAACUUACAGAAUUUAUUCUUGUUCCUUAGAUCUGCAGUCUGUUCCCUCAUAGGGUUUGGGUACCGAAUGUGGCCCUUAUUCUUCUGAAACCAUAUCAAGAUAUUGGUCCUUGACAUGUUUGAGGAAUAAAGUAUUUUUUGUCGAUGCUCCUCGAGUCACUCCUCCUUAUAUCAUCUCUAAACUCCUGCUUAGGCUGGUCAGAUUUGCCUCUUCAUCGAUUAUCAUAAUCGGAUCUCCUUCCCACUUUGUAAUCUUUAUCUAGUCUGAUAAAACUAUGAGCUCGGUCCAUGAGCUCGGCAUGUGACUCUGGUGGGUCGACAGUUAGCGAGUCCUUGAACUUGUUCAUAUAGGUAUUAUCGGUCUUUAUAUCAAUAGUUGUAUCUUGGUCGAGUUUUUCUACCUGGAAAACUUCCUUGUUGAAUUUUUCCAUAAAAUCCUUCAAACUCUUAUCACGCCUCUGGAUACACUUCAUCAUAUCACUUGACCUCUUCUUCAGAGGAAUGCUAGUGAUGAACCGAGUUUUGAAUUAGUUCAGCAAGAGUAGCAAAAUCAUAUAUAGAGCCAUCUGGCAAGCUCUUAUACCACUUUUGAGCUCUUUCUUUUAGGGUUGUAGGAAAAAUUAUAAACCUGAUAGGAUCUGAUACAUUAUGUUAUCCCAUUUUAAUAUUAAGAUUAUUAACAUGGCUUAGUGGAUUUCUCAAACCAUUAUAAGAAUCCAAAGGCGGCAGUCUCAAUUUCUCAGGAAAAUUCUCUGCCAGAAUGCUCGGGCAAAAAGAAUUGCCUUAAAGAUGACCCCUUCUUUCAUUAUCCUUCCCGCACGAUACUUCUUUAGGGCAUCGUUAAUUUUCUUAUUGAUAGUAUCCUCAAUCCAUGCAAAAUCAUGGGUUUGAGAACUAGAACUUUCUUCUUUUCUAUGUCUCUAACUCGGUUGUUUCUCUUUCAAAUCUGUUAUCCUCUGUCCAAGUAUUUGUCGUUCUUGGGAUAUGUAAUGUCAGUGGCAUACUAAUGCCUAAGGUAUGCUCUGUUGUUGCAGGAAUGUGGCUGGUGCUUAUUGGCGUAGGCUGCCUUGCAAGUGUCUGAGCGAGAACACUUUCAUAAUACCUUUUUAUCCCUUUUAUACAUAGUGACGACGUCCUCUGGCAAUGGCUGCUAAGGACUUUGAGGAAGACUUAGGUCGGAGGUUGACUAUGAGACGUGACAGGCGAAAUGAAGAUCGGAGCUUGAGAAAAAGGUGUUAGCGACCUUUGUCCCAUCUCCCUUUGCCAAGCAGCAGAAAGAUUUUCGACUAGAGAUGGACCCUUCCAAGUGUAAUUUCCACUGAAAAUUUUCUCUAGUAUGAAGUCGAUGAAAAUAUUUCUCCUUUGAGGUUGGGAGGUCGGGAUGACAAGUCCAGGCGAACCUAAAGAUGAUUGACUGAUCCGCAGAGAAAAUUGGGGUCCAGCUGAGAAAUUACUAGCUCCAUCCGCAAUUCUUAGUGGACGAACAUCUCCACUCUAACCUUGAUUGGUGGCAAUUUAACUUGACUGGAUAGGGAAACAAGGCUUUUGCAUGAAAUUUCUCAUAAAUAGUGCCAAUUGAUAACCUAGGCAACUGAGACGAGCUAUCAACAAGGAUCUUCAAAGGCUGACCUCAAUCUCCGGAGUAUCUGCAAGGAAAUGUUAGAAAGCGCUGGACAACCCUCACUCCAAUGAUAAAGUCAAUAAUUUCUUUAGAGGUAGCUAAAGUAUAUAAGUGUAUAAGAUUGCGUGUACCUCUAAGUGUGAUGUCCCCAUUCCUUAUAUAGACACUGAAUGUCUUCUAGUCUAGGUUGUCUUAAUUGUAUUAGAAUUUAUACUCUUAUUCAUCUUUAGAGUUCUAGAUCGGGUUGGACUUUAUGACUAGUCUUGUCAGAAUAUAUUCUCUUAAAGUCCCAGUCAUAGUAGAUAUCAAUUUUUUAUCAACCCCGCCUUUGUAAGGUGGGACAGGCUAACUUAUAAUACUCGAAUAUUAAUUAAUAUUGGAUGAUAUUUAUAAUUACUUAAACAUAAUUAAAGAAUUCAUUAAUUUAUUUAUCCAUCGAAACCGCUAAAAAGAAAGGAGUGGGAAAGAAAAAAAUUAUUAAACACGAUAUAUGCAACAUUUUGAUAUAACGUAUAUCAUGAGGAAUAAUGUUCCCAAACCCAGAAAAUAAUUGGGCUGGGAAAUGUGGUCGUAAAGGUUUUGAAUUUAAAAGUGCUCAUAAAGUAAAACGAUGCNNNNNNNNNNNNNNNNNNNNNNNNNNNNNNNNNNNNNNNNNNNNNNNNNCGCCCAGGCCCAAGAAUUUUUUAAUAUCUCUGAGCCCAAGUCUGGAUCCGAAAUUUUUUGAAAAGCCCGGCCCGGCCAAUUAUUAAACCUGUCCCAAAUUGCAGUUACAUUUAGAUUUAGGGUUUUGUUUUGUUUAAUAUAUUAUUAAUAACAAUAAAAUUUUAAAUAAAAAUAAUAAGGAGCUAAGUGGUAUAUAGCACUUAAUUAUAAGCUGAAGGUCAGAGGUUCGAGUGCUAGGUAUGACAUUUCUUGUACCCAGGCCCAUGAACAAGUCUAGUGGUGGGUCCUAAAGAUUAUCCUAUGUCAUUGAGAAAAAGAAAAAUGAAUUUUAAAAUUUCAUAGUUUAUAACGUCAACGCUUGUUGAAUGCUUAUAUAUAUAUAUAUAUAAUAAAAAUUUAUAAAAUUUAAGUAAAAUUCAUAUAAAAAAUAUAAUAUGUAAUUUUUGUAUAAAAUUUUAUAAAUUUUACAUACUAAAAUUUUUAUAUAAAUUAUUUAAAAAAAAUAUUUAAUGCAAAUUUUAUUUAAAUUUUAUUACAUUACAAAAAAACAGCAAUUUAACUACUAUAUUUAACUAUCACAUUAAAAUAGUUGCUAUUUAACUACCCCAUUUUACUUUCAUAAGACUAAUUUUAUUUUUUUACAAAUAGACUCAUACAAAUAUUAAAAAAAACUAAAUCAUUAUAAACUAUUGGGUUAUAUUUGUCCGAAACAUAAGGAGCUGAGGUGAAUAUUAAAAUGAAAACGAGGGUCAUAUUUGAGUCUCUUCCCUGUUCUUUUUGGGAAAUAUUAUAUUGUGAUAUAUGUGGUAGGCAUACUAUUGACCGGUGACUUUGGGACGAGAAGAUGCGAAAUGAUCCAUUAAUUCAUGGCCGCAACCUUUAUAAGAAUUGCGAUUAUUCGUGGCUGUUUUCAAACUAAGCCAUUACUAAUUACAUUAAUAAAUGCAACUAUAUAGCCUUUAGCCAAAACAAUUAUAUUUCUUGCCUGUUAAUAUACUCUCUAUAAAAUGAAGUAAUUAAAUACUUGGCCGUCAUAUGUUUAUUAUGUUAAUUGAUAGAAUUAGUUUUUGAGAUUUCACCUAAUACUUUAUUUCAACUUUUUUGGAAAUCAUAAAUCUAUUUUUAUUAAAUGGAAAAAAAAAAUCUCUAUAGAGAGUUAUUUUUUUAUUAGUUAAUGUUGUAUGUACAAUCUUAUAAUGUGUUUGAUUUACGUGAUAAAUGAUUUUUAUACUUUUCCCAAUACUACAUUGAUUAGAACUUUUUCAUAUAAUGUUUAAAAAAAGAAGAACUUUCUCAUAUAAUAAAAAUGUAAAAGGUUUUUUGAGUUUUUCUUUAUUAAGCUAUUGUUUACGUUAUCAAGGUCACAUUAAUUAUUACUUAUAAUUUAUUAAUAUUAAAUAUUAAAAUAUAUAUAAUAAUUUAUAAUAUGAACAAGUAUGUAAUAACUAAUUAAAUCAUUAAUUUUUUUUUAUAAAAUAAGUUGUUUCCGUUUUUAUUUUACAAAUAUUUAAUUAGCGAUUAGAUGAUUAUACAUAUAAUGAAUUAUGAUGUUAUUUCCCUUAUAAAAGAAAUGUUUUAGGAGACACAUUCAACCAUAACUAUUACAUUCAAGUUUUUACUCUGAACCCUUUGCAAUGUGGAACAAAUUGGAACAAACAAAUUGCAACCUGGAACAAAAGAGUAGUCUUAGUCUUCUAUCUUUGUACGUUGUUUUGGUUGGAAUUUGGAAAUGGAAUAAGUUCAACUCAAUCCCUUUCAAAUAAAUAUUAGGAAGAAGUCGUUCAAUUACACAAAACUGACGUGUUAAAAUGCAAGAAAACAAAAAAAUAUACAGGGACAGUUCACAUGUUUACUUCGUGAAAUGAACACAUAAUAAUAAUAAUAACGCAAUUCCUGCAAUGCAAAAACCCUAAAGCUGUAUCAGAUGAGAAUCCCACGACCAGGAUCUCCCUACCCGCCAACAGAAAUAAUAGAGGAUGGACCAAAAACAACACUCCAUGCCUGCCUGUAACCAUGUAACUUAUACUCCAUUAUCGUGCUAUGUCGUUCUUAAAGGACAGAUUUCCAUAAGGAAAACAAUUUAAAAGAUUGAUAAACCCAUCAAAGGAGCAGUACAUAGUUAUUCCUAAAGAGAAGUGAUAUACUAACUAAUAGAAAAUGGAAAAAAAGGAAAAGAAAAAAGCAACCAUAAAAGAAGUGAUGACUGAUGAGCUUUAGCUUGAUUGUACUCAGAAUUGUAAGGCUGAAAUCCAAUUAAAAUCCAUGAAUUUGAUUCACUGAUACUAAAGUUGUACUUAGGAUUGCAAUAUUGUAUCCAAUUAGAAUUCCAAUUAACAGAAAGAGAAAAUUGAACAAAAAAAAAAAAAAACAAGGUUGGAGGAGAGAGGGGUUAGUAGUAUUCUGUUCUGUAGCAAACUGACUGUUUCUAAAAUCAAACACGUUCACGGAUUGCAAUUAAACAGGUUCACGGACUGGGCAUUGGAAUUUGCAAAAGAAUAACACAAAACUCCAAAAUUUCCAGUUCAACUUCACUUUAAAGCCCUUUGGGAUUUCUACCUUUAGUGCUCUUUUUCGUAUAUACAACAACGUGGUUUCAAUAGUCCCAGUUUAGUUUCUCUUCCUUUUUAUGAAUGUCCUAAAAAAAACACUAGUCACGGGUCGUCAUUUAUUUCAGCUAUAUAAUCCUAGGAUCAACUCAACUCAGUCAGAAACCUAAACUCAUUCAAUCAUGGGUGCGCCUAAGGUUGCAGCCAUGUCGUUCAUUUUCAUGAUUUUCAUGGCUAUUUCAUUACCACCAAUUUAUGCUUGCACUCCUUGUACUCAGCCACAUCCACCGUCACAUGGCGGCGGCGGAGGCGGAGGCGGCAGCCGCCCAACCCAUCCAACAGUUCCACAUCCUCACCCACCAUUCAGCAAGCCCCCACCACACCACGGAGGAGGUGGCGGAGGGAGAGGCGGCCACCAUCCAAAGAACCCGCCAAUGCCACCAGUCGUACUGCCACCUAUAAUCAUUAACCCUCCUCCAGUAAUAACACCUCCCGUACCAAACCCUCCAGUAAUUAUAACACCACCACCUUCUUCAGGAUACCCACCAUACACUGGUGGUCCACCUUCUGGCGGAGGCGGUGGAGGCGGAGGCGGUGGAGGUGGUGGUGGUGGAGGAGGAGGUGGAGGUGGUGGUGGUAAUGUUCCGGGAGUUAAUCCACCACCUACUACUCCUACUCAACCAACUUGUCCAAUCAAUGCACUUAAGCUAGGAGCUUGCGUGGAUGUGCUGGGUGGUUUGGUGCAUGUCGGUUUAGGGAAUCCUGUUGAGAAUGUUUGCUGCCCUGUAAUUAAAGGAUUGCUAGAGCUUGAAGCAGCUAUUUGC